rnacentral:rRNA from 1 species
AGAGUUUGAUCCUGGCUCAGGAUGAACGCUAGCGGCAGGCUUAACACAUGCAAGUCGAGGGGCAGCGGGGCGGCAGGCUUGCCUGCCGCCGCCGGCAACCGGCGCACGGGUGAGUAACACGUAUGCAACCUGCCCGUGGCAGGGGGAUAAGCGGGGGAAACCCCGUCUAAUACCGCGUAACGCGGCCUUGGGGCAUCCCCGGGCCGCCAAAGGAAGCAAUUCCGGUGACGGAUGGGCAUGCGGCGCAUUAGCUUGUUGGCGGGGUAACGGCCCACCAAGGCGACGAUGCGUAGGGGUUCUGAGAGGAAGGUCCCCCACACUGGUACUGAGACACGGACCACACUCCUACGGGAGGCAGCAGUGAGGAAUAUUGGUCAAUGGGCGCGAGCCUGAACCAGCCAAGCCGCGUGAAGGAAGAAGGCGCCAAGCGUCGUAAACUUCUUUUGUCGGGGAACAAAGGGCGCCACGUGUGGCGUUGUGAGAGUACCCGAAGAAAAAGCAUCGGCUAACUCCGUGCCAGCAGCCGCGGUAAUACGGAGGAUGCGAGCGUUAUCCGGAUUUAUUGGGUUUAAAGGGUGCGUAGGCGGUCCGGAAAGUCAGCGGUAAAAGCCCGGGGCUCAACCCCGGCGAGC